AGACUCCUACGGGAGGCAGCAGUAGGGAAUCUUCCGCAAUGGACGAAAGUCUGACGGAGCAACGCCGCGUGAGUGAUGAAGGCUUUCGGGUCGUAAAAGUCUGUUGUUAGCGAAGAACAAGUGCUAGUUGAAUAAGCUGGCACCUUGACGGUACCUAACCAGAAAGCCACGGCUAAAUACGCGCCAGCAGGCGCGGUAAUACGUAGGUGGCAAGCGUUAUCCGGAAUUAUUGGGCGUAAAGCGCGCGCAGGUGGUUUCUUAAGUCUGAUGUGAAAGCCCACGGCUCAACCGUGGAGGGUCAUUGGAAACUGGGAGACUUGAGUGCAGAAGAGGAAAGUGGAAUUCCAUGUGUAGCGGUGAAAUGCGUAGAGAUAUGGAGGAACACCAGUGGCGAAGGCGACUUUCUGGUCUGUAACUGACACUGAGGCGCGAAAGCGUGGGGAGCAAACAGGAUUAGAUACCCUGGUAGUCCACGCCGUAAACGAUGAGUGCUAAGUGUUAGAGGGUUUCCGCCCUUUAGUGCUGAAGUUAACGCAUUAAGCACUCCGCCUGGGAGUCGCCA
rnacentral:rRNA from 1 species